GGCCUGGUAGUGUAACGGUAGCACGCCCGCUUUCAAUUAGAAGGCGUCGACUUAUAAAGCGGAGAUUCCCUGUUCGAUUCGGGGUCAAGCCA